CUUGGCUUGGUUGUUUCCUUGUUCUAUGGUAUCUCCGAUGGAAUGAUUACUCUGUUUCCCUGAUCUAAGCUCCUCUAGAUCAAAUACAGUUCUUGUACCCGAGACUGUGGUGCAUUCUAAACACUAAAGGCUACAAACCUCCGGACAAAUCAACAUUUUCACGGUUGAG